UCUUGUUGCCCAGGGUGGAGUGCAAUGGCAUGAUCUGGGCUCGCUGCAACCUCUGUCUCCCUAGUUCAAGCAAUUCUCCUGCCUCAGCCUCCCAGGUAGCUGAGAUUACAGGCAUGCGCCACCACGCCCAGCUAAUUUUUUGCAUUUUUAGUAGAGACGGAAUUUCACCAUGUUGGCCAGGCUGGUCUCAAACUCCUGACCUCAGGUGAUUGACCCGCUUCAACCUCCCAAAGUGCUGGGAUUACAGGUGUGAGCCACUGCACUGGGCCAAGAAUAAGAUUUUUAAAAACAUUUUCGCAUCUGGAGGCUCCAGGGGGCUUCCCUGAGAAACGGCAGCCUCUGCGGUCAGAGAGGCUGCAAUUCAGAGCGUUCCCACAAACAGCACCAUGUGCUCAUGCUUACCUGCUUGGGUGUGUGAGUCACCUGGAGAUGGGGUGCAGAAACAUUGACAUACCUGAGCUAUCUUUCUUCCUCUGCCCUUUGCAGGUGUUUGAUGUACAGAGGAAAGUCACCUAUAGGAACCUGAGCACCUGGUAUACAGAGCUUCGGGAGUUCAGGCCAGAGAUCCCAUGCAUCGUGGUGGCCAAUAAAAUUGAUGGUGGGGCCAUCCCUGCACCUGGGUGUUAGCAAUUCACUGGGGACCUGCCCUCAUACAUUUCCUCCUCCAUUCCCCGGGCAGGCAACCUUCAGUGAUUGGUCCUCCCUCCCACGAUAAGAUACAACCCUUGGUUGCUUGCAUUCUUCCCACCUUAUAAAGAAGCCAGCUAAGCCGACCUGCCCUCUUUCCAAGACACAGAUCCCUAUUAACUGAGCUCUUUCUAGGACAUGUUUCCCAAUCAUCCCUGCCUAUCCCGCUUUCUGGAAUGAAGGCCUCCAGUGGCCCCCCCUCCAAACCUUCUUCCCUUCCCUUGACAGACAGACCAAUGUCCUACCUUCUCUCUACAGCAGACAUAAACGUGACCCAAAAAAGUUUCAAUUUUGCCAAGAAGUUCUCCCUGCCCCUGUAUUUCGUCUCGGCUGCUGAUGGUACCAAUGUUGUGAAGCUCUUCAAUGAUGCAAUUCGAUUAGCUGUGUCUUACAAACAGAACUCCCAGGACUUCAUGGAUGAGAUUUUUCAGGAGCUCGAGAACUUCAACUUGGAGCAGGAAGAGGAGGACGUGCCAGACCAGGAACAGAGCAGCAGCAUCGAGACCCCAUCAGAGGAGGCGGCCUCUCCCCACAGCUGAGGGGCUGGGGCUAGGGGUGGGUGGAGCCCUUUUAAAAUACCCUUCCCUUCAACAACUCUCCAGCUCUGAAUGGAGAAACUCUCUAGGCCAUCCCCUCUUCUACCUCCUGCAACCCACCCAUCCUAUUAGCCUCCCACAUUCAAGGCCCGUGAUACAGGGAUGAGGUCAGCACCAGCAAACUCUGGCCUGGUGGAAGAAUUCCCCACCAGAUCUCCUUGAAGCAGAAUUAGGGAUCAGCAUCAUUAACACCUUCCCCACCCCCUCCCCCCAGGCAGACAGUGAAGAGAAUCAGAAAACAUGAUUAUGUGUCACUUUAAUACAGGAAAUGUAGGUGUUUUUUGGUGUUUUUGUUUUUGUUUUUGUUUCCUUUCCAAAGCUCACCUCGGGGACAAUUCCCUGUGCUUCUGCUGAGGUAAUGAUUACCCGCCCCCCCACCCACAGCUGAGUCUGUGAGGCCCCAUCCUUUCCCUACGUUUUCUCCCAUCUUUUUUCCUCUUCAGUCUCCCAGUCAUCUGGUUUGUUUGUUUCUUUGUUCGUUCUGAGACGGAGUCUCGCUCUGUCACCAGGCUGGAGUGCAGUGGCGCAGUCUCGGCUCGCUGCAACCUCUGACUCCCUGGUUCAAACGAUUCUCCUGCCUCAGCCUCCCGAGUGGCUGGCAUCACCACGCCCAGCUAAUUUUUGUAUUUUUAGUAGAGAUGGGGUUUCACCAUGUUGCCCAGGAUGGUCUCGAUCUCCUCACCUCGUGAUCCGCCCGCCUCGGCCUCCCAAAGUGCUGGGAUUACAGGCAUGAGCCACCGCGCCCGGCCCCAAUCAUCUGUUUUUAAACAAUCGUUUUUGAGCAGAUAGCUAUUCAUUCCAGAUUUCUGUGUACCCACUCUGUUUCAGGAGCUCUUCUAGGUAAAGCUGAGAUCACAGGAACAGCAGGUGACAGGCCUAGCUAUAGUUAGGAAUACACAAGCGGUAAAAUCGAGUCCUUACAGCCAUACCACAAGGUACGUCCAUUUGGACUACAAGAAGAGCUUCCUUUAAAGUUCCUAUUUCAGCAUAAGGAGGCUGUCCUUUUUUUUUUUUUUUGAGGAAUAGUUUGGACCUUGUGCCUCCUGUGGGAGGCUGAGGACUGCAAGAGGAGAGCUAGCAGAUAUGCCUGUUCACCCCUCUCUGGUACUUGUGGCUUGCUAGUAUGUUUUUAUGAUAAUCUCGGGCAUUGUUUGCAUUGUGUUUAUUAAUAGGGUUUUGUUUUUAUUGUUUCCUUUUUUACAGUAAAGGCUGAAUUACAU
rnacentral:sRNA from 1 species